rnacentral:rRNA from 1 species
AAGUCGUAACAAGGUUUCCGUAGGUGAACCUGCGGAAGGAACAUUG